AACGAACGCUGGCGGCAUGCCUAACACAUGCAAGUCGAACGAGACCUUCGGGUCUUGUGGCGCACGGGUGCGUAACGCGUGGGAACCAGCACUUAGGUUCGGUAUAACUCCCUGAAAGGGGUGCUAAUACCGGUGAAUGUCUUCGGACCAAAGAUUUCUCGCCUUGGGGUGGGGCCGCGUUGGAUUAGCGGGUUGGUAGGGUAAAAGCCUACCAAGGCGACGAUGCAGAGCUGGUCGGAGAGGAGGAUCAGCCACGCUGGGACUGAGACACGGCCCAGACUCGUACGGGAGGGAGCGGUGGGGAAUAUUGUGCAAGGGAGGAAAGCCUGACCCAGCAACGCCGCGGGAGUGAUGAAGGCCUUAGGGUUGUAAAGCUCUUUUAGCCGGGAUGAUAAUGACAGUACCGGGAGAAUAAGCACCGGCUAACUCCGUG
rnacentral:rRNA from 1 species